AUUUGAUUACAUCAACAAAUUUUCAUUAUUUCUGGUUAUAGCAACAACAACGAUAGUUAGAAGAAAAUUACUAGCUAGAUAAUAUUUAAAACAUGGGUUUCUAGUUCCAUCAAACACAUGAUCAUAGUUUGUUUGUUUUUGCUAACAAUAGUUUAUUUGGCAAAAAAAACACACAGGAUCAUAGUUCAUAAAUUCGCUUUACACAAUUAUUACUUUAGUUUAAUCGAUCUACCAAACUUUAAUAGUUGUAUAAUAGUUUAUUUUCAUUUACAAAACUAUAAGAAAGUUGUUCCUUAUUGAGCUUCCAUCAAAACAUUUGCACGUCCUUGAAAAGCUUUAACCUACACAGAAAGACUUAAAUCCAAAUAGCUAAUACUUGCUAUUUAAGUACAAAACAGGAACUUUCCUCUCUCUAAAACUCUUUCCACAAGAAAACCAGAUAUCGUUUUUUGUCCGGUGGCCGGUGGCCCUCUCACCGCCGGUCACCCCCUUGUUUCUUCUUGCGCAGGUUCCCGCCUCACACGCUCCACUCUCUUCUCCAAGUAGAUCCGAUAUGCGUUUUGCUCUAUAUCUCCACCGGUGUUGACCUCUGGCGGACCUAAAAUUGAACACACGGGUGUCUGUGUUUCCUCUGGAGCAAAAGCGAGGUAUCUUCUUUGGUCUAAGGUGGAGGGUUCCGGACAGGGUACGUUCUACGGCGGGUGAAGACAGAUCUGUAUAAAUCUGGUUCUCGGAGCCGACGGAGACAGUCUGGGAGCGUCGCUGCCUCCUCCUUGUUCCCGCUCGUCCUGCUCUUCUCCGCUGUCGUUUGUUUACUUUCCGGUUAGUUCAGAGUUUCUCAUCUCCUUCUGAGAAAGGCGGUUUCAGAGGCAGCCGCCGAGGACCUCUGUUUUUAGAUCCGGUUCUUCAAGCGCUCGCAGGAAGGUUGUGAGGAGUGUGUCCUGCCUCUUUGUCGAUUGGAAAGCAUUUAUCUCUCCGACGCUGUGGCCGGUGUAAGGAGUUUAAACCACCGCCUGCAGUCCACGAGUCUCGUUUCUUCACCGCUUGCUUUUCCAUUAGUCGGAUUGGAUCAACAGCCGCAUCUUCUACAAUCUUCUGGUUUGUUCGGAGUGGACCCUUGACGGAAUGAUAGCCGGGGCCGGGACGCCUAACCGCCUCCGCCUGUCACGUCCUCUGAUUCCUUUCGGGAUCUCAUCCGCUCCUGAACUUUUCCUAGACCUCUAAUCUUUUUUGCAGGUUUCCCGCUUUAAAGUGUCCUCUGGGUCUUCGAGUGCCAAUCUCCAUGUUUAGUCUUAGUCUUCAUAGAUUAAGCCUAACUAUGUAUCUAAGGAUCUUUUUUUAUCUUUUGGGGGGGGGGGGAUCUUUAGGUAACCUUUGCUAGUUCUAGCAGAUUUAGAUCCAAGCUUUUGUAUCUCAAAGCCAUUUCUAUGAAAUGAAUUCACAUUUUGUCAAAAAA